rnacentral:rRNA from 1 species
CACCGCGGUUAUACGAGAGGCCCAAGUUGACAACUACCGGCGUAAAAUGUGGCUAAUAUAGUAUUACACUAAAGCUAAACAUCUUCAAAGCUGUUAUACGCAUCCGAAGACAGGAUGCCCUUCCACGAAAGUGGCUUUAAACAAUAUUAACCCACGAAAGCUAGGAAACAAACUGGGAUUAGAUACCCCACUAUGCCUAGCCUUAAACAAAAGCGAUUUAUUUACACCCCUCGCUUGCCAGGGAACUACGAGCCCCAGCUUAAAACCCAAAGGACUUGGCGGUGCUUUAGACCCACCUAGAGGAGCCUGUUCUAGAACCGAUAACCCCCGUUCAACCUCACCUUCUCUUGUUUUUCCCGCCUAUAUACCGCCGUCGUCAGCUUACCCUGUGAAGGGUACAUAGUGAGCACAAUUGGUACAACCCAAAACGUCAGGUCGAGGUGUAGCGUACGAGAAGGGAAGAAAUGGGCUACAUUUACUGAACCAGUAAACACGGAUAAUGCCUUGAAACAGACAUUUAAAGGAGGAUUUAGCAGUAAGAGAGGAAUAGAGCGCCCCUCUGAAACUGGCCCUGAAGCGCGCACACACCGCCCGUCACUCUCCCCCACAACCCUAGUGAUAACUUUAAAUAAAAUAUAACUUUAAUAAAGGGGAGGCAAGUCGUAACAUGGUAAGUGUACCGGAAGGUGCACUUGGAAAAAUCAGAGCGUAGCUAAA